rnacentral:rRNA from 1 species
UACGUAGGGUGCGAGCGUUUGUCCGGAAUUAUUGGGCGUAAAGGGCUCGUAGGCGGUUUGUCGCGUCGGGAGUGAAAACCCAGGGCUUAACUCUGGGCUUGCUUUCGAUACGGGCAGACUAGAGGUAUGCAGGGGAGAACGGAAUUCCUGGUGUAGCGGUGAAAUGCGCAGAUAUCAGGAGGAACACCGGUGGCGAAGGCGGUUCUCUGGGCAUUACCUGACGCUGAGGCGCGAAAGCGUGGGGAGCGAACAGG